rnacentral:misc_RNA from 1 species
CAAUCUUCGAAUUCUGAAGCAUUCUAACAUUCCAAAUUAUGGGUUUGGCCUCCGCUAACACUUCCAGUGAAGGCAUGCAACUUUGUGUAUUUGAUUUGAGAAGAGGGCAACUUGAAGGGCAAGAGCUGGAUAAGAUCCUUUUCUUUUUCCCUGCUGAUUUGCCCUUCUCUACCCAACUUUCCGUCAUAGGACUCAGUGAAGGACUCAUCACCUUUACAAGAAUUUUCUCUCCAGAAGCAGCUUGCGAGGUCCAUUCUCAUGUAUUUUACGAGGCAGAGCCGGACAUCUGGAUGGUGAUGGUAGUGGAGAAAAGUAAGGGGCUGGAAGUCAUAUGGCGGAUAGAUGCAUUACGAGAGGUUCUCAAGGAAGUUCACUCUCUUUUCAUGAUGUUUAAUGGGUCUAUAAGAGCUAUGCUUGAGAGAGAACCUAGUGGAGGAGUAAUUCGAUCUCAUCUAUACCCUUUCAUAAUGGAUUAUCUGAGUGAUUUUCUUGUUGGGAAGAAACUCCAAUUACCAUCAUUUCGUGACUGUUUAACGGAGCGUGGAACUGUUCAGAUGUUGACUGUUGGGAGAGAAGCUGCAAUUGAAGUUCAGUCACUUGUCAGGGUACUAGAGUCUUGUGCUGGGGCCACACCUUGCCAUUCACUGAUUUUCUUUCAGGACCUGCUUGUCUCCACAACAGUUUCUCCUGAUGACACCAUAAAUUUAUUUACAUAUGCGGUUCUGAGGUUGACUCCUCGUGCUUUAUCCUCUGGGGCAAGUUCAUGGUCAUACUUACGCAAAGGAAGCACUGCAUCUCAUGUUGCUGCAGGGUCUACACUGGCCCAAUCUGCUUCUGUUUCAGAACAUUUAUAUCGCUCACAUGAUAACUCUCCUGGUCGGGAUGACAGUUACCAUGUUAAGAGACCCUUACAGCAUGACAAGUGGGCU